UAGCUCAGUUGGUAGUGCAUCUGCCUUGUAAGCGCUAGGCCGCGGGUUCGAUUCCCGC
rnacentral:tRNA from 1 species